rnacentral:rRNA from 1 species
GACGAACGCUGGCGGCGUGCUUAACACAUGCAAGUCGAACGAUGAAGCCUAGCUUGCUAGGUGGAUUAGUGGCGAACGGGUGAGUAAUACGUGAGUAACCUACCUUUAACUCUGGGAUAAGCCUGGGAAACUGGGUCUAAUACCGGAUACGACCAAUCUCCGCAUGGGGUGUUGGUGGAAAGCGUUAUGUAGUGGUUAUAGAUGGGCUCACGGCCUAUCAGCUUGUUGGUGAGGUAACGGCUCACCAAGGCGACGACGGGUAGCCGGCCUGGGAGGGUGACCGGCCACACUGGGACUGAGACACGGCCCAGACUCCUACGGGAGGCAGCAGUGGGGAAUAUUGCACAAUGGGCGCAAGCCUGAUGCAGCGACGCCGCGUGAGGGAUGACGGCCUUCGGGUUGUAAACCUCUGUUAGCAGGGAAGAAGAGAAAUUGACGGUACCUGCAGAGAAAGCGCCGGCUAACUACGUG